GUGCUCGCUUUGGCAGCACAUAUACUAAAAUUGGAACUAUACAGAGAAGAUUAGCAUGGCCCCUGCUCAAGGAUGACCCACAAAUUCAUGAGGCAUUCCAAAAUUUU